CCUUUGCAUAUCUGUGCGUCCCUAUCAGCUCCGGCUGAGUGCCGUCUUCUUCGCGUUCGCGUGAUCAGCGCCGGUACAUCGCUAAGGUGCAUAUACAUGUCUGUGCGCCAAACAGGUGAUUCUACGUCACCUACGCAUCUCUCUCCCGGACUUUGGAGGCCAUUUUUCGAAGUACUCAGUAUACCCCCCCACCUCCACACACACACAAAAAUCAAAAAAUGAAGAGACAUGGUGCGUUGCUGUCGGUGUCGGUGCUGGUGUUGCUAGUGGCAGCUCUGGUAGCUACCGCCGCUGCUCCUGCGUCUGCGAUCGCUGUCGGUGUCGAGGCGACCGAGGUUUUCUCCGUCACCGAUAUUGUGCCACCAGGCAACAAUUUGGUGUUCGCAUUCUACAUGAACCCUGACUUUGUUUUUCCCGUCCGCAUUCGAUGUCGCGAAACGGGAGAUGUGCUGCAGGCGUGGAAGGGCAGCCCACAAGGGUAUCUCAAUCUCCCAUCGACGGACAAGACACGCCACCUAGUCUUUGAGUUCGACAACUCCCAGUCGCUGCUGACGCUUAGUAGUGUGAGCUUCGAGAUCCGCGUCAUCCCCGACCCGACCCGGGGCGUUCGGAGGAGGAGAUAGACCCAAUCGAAAAGAAGGUGCAGACACUCUUCGAAAAGAUGCAGACCCUGCGCAAACUACAGGAGUUGAUUCGCUACAACCAGAAGGACCACCGCGCCCUUGUCGAGCACGCGAAUGAGCGAGUGCACUGGUGGUCCAUCAUGCAGGUCGUGAGCUUCUUUGUUGCAGCGGGUGGCCAGUUGUGGCUGCUGCGGAGUUUUGUGGAGAAGCGUCGCACCAUCUGACAGCGCUCGUUGUAAGCUCCGUUGGAGGGAGAGAGACUUGUUUCUCUGAUGCUUGCCGGCGCGAGCAUGUCGGUAACGCGACGCCGCGUUGGGGAUGCUGUGCGUAGGCGUGCUAGCAAGGUUGCCCGUGCUGCCUCGCUCUGCUGCAGCGGUGCGAGACGCCCGUAAAAUGGGGAGGGCGCGUGCGUGGGCGACCGAGAAAGAAGACAUCGCUGCCGAGGAUCCCCUGCUGCCGCCCCUUCUGUUUGUCGCGUGUCUCGGCGACACCAUAUUCUUUCUUUGCUCAUCUCAACCAGUGCACUCGGUACGCUCACCUCCUUCCUGAUCCUUUUCCCUCG
rnacentral:misc_RNA from 1 species